UACGUAGGGGGCAAGCGUUGUCCGGAAUCAUUGGGCGUAAAGAGCGUGUAGGCGGCCUGGUAAGUCCGCUGUAAAAGUCAAAGGCUCAACCUUUGAAUGUCAGUGGAUACUGCCGGGCUAGAGUCCGGAAGAGGCGAGUGGAACUCCUGGUGUAGCGGUGGAAUGCGCAGAUAUCAGGAAGAACACCAACGGCGAAGGCAGAUCUCUGGGCCGUAACUGACGCUGAGGAGCGAAAGCAUGGGGAGCGAACAGG
rnacentral:rRNA from 1 species